rnacentral:rRNA from 1 species
UACGGAGGGUGCAAGCGUUAUCCGGAUUUACUGGGUUUAAAGGGUGUGUAGGCGGCCCCGCAAGUCGGCCGUGAAAUCUCCGGGCUCAACUCGGAGGGGUCGGGCGAGACUGCGGGGCUCGAGGUGGGCAGAGGGCAGUGGAAUUCCGGGUGUAGUGGUGGAAUGCGUAGAGAUCCGGAGGAACACCAGUGGCGAAGGCGGCUGCCUGGGCCUGGCCUGACGCUGAGGCGCGAAAGCGUGGGGAGCAAUCCGG